UGCCAGAGCCGCGGUAAUACGUAGGUGGCAAGCGUUGUCCGGAAUUAUUGGGCGUAAAGCGCGCGCAGGCGGUCUUUUAAGUCUGAUGUGAAAGCCCCCGGCUCAACCGGGGAGGGUCAUUGGAAACUGGGAGACUUGAGUACAGAAGAGGAGAGUGGAAUUCCACGUGUAGCGGUGAAAUGCGUAGAUAUGUGGAGGAACACCAGUGGCGAAGGCGACUCUCUGGUCUGUAACUGACGCUGAGGCGCGAAAGCGUGGGGAGCAAACAGG
rnacentral:rRNA from 1 species